CAGGCAUUACUCCAAGCAGCACUAGCAGAAGGCUCCAUUAAUUCCAUGCCAGCUAACAUUAAUAUAGCAGCUGGCAGCAGGUCUGCAAUUUAACGUCAUCAGCUGUGAGAAUGGGACACAUGCUUCCAGUUCGACCUGCAGAUCAUCAGAACCAGGAACUGGAGAUGUAAGCUGAAGUCAAGAACGAGGAGGGAGAUGUGCAGGAGAAAAUCAAGGAAGAGGAUCCACUGGGUGCUGUUGAGGAGAAGCUGCAGGGGUGCUGACAGUGCAUGAGAACUCCAGAGAGAACUAUGAAAAGAAUCAAAACUUCGAUACUUUGUACAGAUUUGUGCUGUUUGCUCAUACUACUUG